rnacentral:rRNA from 1 species
GAUAACACUUAAGAAAUAGGUGACUAAAACCGCAGUAAGCGCGACGGGACCGCAUGGUCUUGUGUAGAAAAACUCCGGUGGUACAGGAUCGGUCCCGCGUCUGAUUAGCCAGUUGGCAGGGGUAACGGCCUAACCAAAGCGACGAUCAGUAGCCCGGCCUGAGGAGGGUGAACGGCCACAGUUGGGACUGAGACGACCGGACCCCAAACUCCCGUACGGGGAGGCAGCAGGUGGGGAAUAUGCACAAUGGGGGAAAACCCCUGAUGCAGCGACGCCGCGUGAGUGAAGAAGUAUUUCGGUAUGUAAAGCUCUAUCAGCAGGGAAGAAGAUGACGGUACCUGAGUAAGAAGCCCCGGCUAACUACGUGCCAGCAGCCGCGGUAA